rnacentral:rRNA from 1 species
GUAGGUGGCAAGCGUUGUCCGGAAUUAUUGGGCGUAAAGCGCGCGCAGGCGGUUCUUUAAGUCUGAUGUGAAAGCCCACGGGCUCAACCGUGGAGGGUCAUUGGAAACUGGAGAACUUGAGUACAGAAGAGGAAAGCGGAAUUCCACGUGUAGCGGUGAAAUGCGUAGAGAUGUGAAGGAACACCAGUGGCGAAGGCGGCUUUCUGGUCUGUAACUGACGCUGAGGCGCGAAAGCGUGGGGAGCAAACAGGAUUAGAUACCCUGGUAGUCCACGCCGUAAACGAUGAGUGCUAAGUGUUAGGGGGUUUCCGCCCCUUAGUGCUGCAGCUAACGCAUUAAGCACUCCGCCUGGGGAGUACGGCCGCAAAGGCUG